rnacentral:rRNA from 1 species
GGGGAAUUUUCCGCAAUGGGCGAAAGCCUGACGGAGCAAUACCGCGUGAGGGAUGACGGCCUAUGGGUUGUAAACCUCUUUUUUCAGGGAGGAAACAAAUGACGUUACCUGAAGAAUAAGCAUCGGCUAACUCCGUGCCAGCAGCCGCGGUAAGACGGAGGAUGCAAGUGUUAUCCGGAAUCACUGGGCGUAAAGCGUCUGUAGGUGGUUGAAUAAGUCAACUGUUAAAUCUUGAGGCUCAACCUCAAAACCGCAGUCGAAACUAUUCGACUAGAGUAUAGUAGGGGUAAAGGGAAUUUCCAGUGGAGCGGUGAAAUGCGUAGAUAUUGGAAGGAACACCGAUGGCGAAGGCACUUUACUGGGCUAUUACUAACACUGAGAGACGAAAGCUAGGGUAGCAAAUGGGAUUAGAUACCCCAGUAGUC